ACACACACACACACACACACACAUUUUUUCUCACAAUUUUUUUUCCAGAUGUCUGCAUCAUAGACUCAUGAGUA